GUGCCAGCCGCCGCGGUAAGACAGAGGGUGCAAACGUUGUUCGGAAUUACUGGGCGUAAAGCGUGUGUAGGCGGCCAUGUAAGUUGGAUGUGAAAGCCCAGGGCUCAACCUUGGAAGUGCAUUCAAUACUGCGUGGCUUGAGUAUCGGAGAGGUUGGUGGAAUUCUCGGUGUAGAGGUGAAAUUCGUAGAUAUCGAGAGGAACACCGGUGGCGAAGGCGGCCAACUGGACGAAUACUGACGCUGAGACACGAAAGCGUGGGGAGCAAACAGGAUUAGAUACCCUGGUAGUCCACGCCUUAAACGAUGGAUGCUAGCCGUCAGCAAGCAUGCUUGUUGGUGGCGCAGCUAACGCAUUAAGUGAACCGCCUGGGGACUACGACCGCAAGGUUGGA
rnacentral:rRNA from 1 species